UACGGAGGGGGCUAGCGUUGUUCGGAAUUACUGGGCGUAAAGCGCACGUAGGCGGCUUUGUAAGUUAGAGGUGAAAGCCCAGGGCUCAACCCUGGAAUUGCCUUUAAGACUGCAUCGCUUGAACAUCGGAGAGGUAAGUGGAAUUCCGAGUGUAGAGGUGAAAUUCGUAGAUAUUCGGAAGAACACCAGUGGCGAAGGCGACUUACUGGACACAUAUUGACGCUGAGGCGCGAAAGCCAGGGGAGCAAACGGG
rnacentral:rRNA from 1 species